AACGAACGCUGGCGGCAGGCCUAACACAUGCAAGUCGAACGUGAAGCUGGAGCUUGCUCCAGUGGAAAGUGGCAGACGGGUGAGUAACGCGUGGGAAUUUACCCAGUGGUACGGAAUAACUCAGGGAAACUUGUGCUAAUACCGUAUAAGCCCUUCGGGGGAAAGAUUUAUCGCCAUUGGAUGAGCCCGCGUUAGAUUAGUUGUUGGUGGGGUAAUGGCCUACCAAGACUACGAUCUAUAGCUGGUCUGAGAGGAUGAUCAGCCACACUGGGACUGAGACACGGCCCAGACUCCUACGGGAGGCAGCAGUGGGGAAUAUUGCACAAUGGGCGCAAGCCUGAUGCAGCCAUGCCGCGUGAGUGAAGAAGGCCUUAGGGUUGUAAAACUCUUUCACCGGUGAAGAUAAUGACGGUAGCCGGUAAAGAAGCCCCGGCUAACUCCGUG
rnacentral:rRNA from 1 species